rnacentral:rRNA from 1 species
UACGGGAGGGUGCAAGCGUUGUCCGGAUUUAUUGGGUUUAAAGGGUGCGUAGGCGGCUUUUUAAGUCAGCGGUGAAAUACUUCAGCUCAACUGGAGUCGUGCCGUUGAUACUGGGAAGCUUGAGUACUGAUGAAGUGGGCGGAAUUGAAGGUGUAGCGGUGAAAUGCAUAGAUAUCUUCAAGAACACCGAUUGCGAAGGCAGCUCACUAAGGAGUAACUGACGCUGAGGCACGAAAGCGUGGGUAGCAAACAGGG